GUGAUGAACCAGGAUGCCGCUCAGCGCCUGUUUUUUUAAACCAGGUGUUGGGAGGAAAGUCCGGGCUCCGCAGGACAUGAUGCCGGGUAACGCCCGGGACCUGAACACUUCAGGGACAGACAGUGCCACAGAAAAUAUACCGCCCGUUUGGGUAAGGGUGAAAAGGCAGGGUAAGAGCCUACCUCGGAGGCGGCAACGCCUGCGGAACGGCAAACCUCAUCAGGAGCAAAGUCAAGCAGUGUGCGUGAAAAACGCAAGCGUUUUUCACGAGCCAAUUGUCCGUUGGUUAAGCACGGGUAGACUGCUAAAAAUGACCGGUAACGGUUAUUUAAGACAGAUGGUAUCCGCUCAAAGCCUUAUAAUCUUUGAUUAUUUGGCUGGGAACAGAACCCGGCUUAUGGUUCAUCGCUUUU
rnacentral:RNase_P_RNA from 1 species